rnacentral:rRNA from 1 species
GGGUCAGUAGGUUGGUAGUGCCACCGGUACGUACUGGUCUCACUGAUUACUCCUUCCUGAAGAACCGUAAUGCCAUUAAUUUGGUGUUGCGGGGAAACAGGACUGUUACUUUGAAAAAAUUAGAGUGUUUAAAGCAAGCUAACGCUUGAAUACAUUAGCAUGGAAUAAUGAAAUAGGACGAUCGAUCCUAUUUUGUCGGUUUCUAGGAUUGACGUA